rnacentral:rRNA from 1 species
GACGAACGCUGGCGGCGUGCUUAACACAUGCGAGUCGAACGGUGAACCUCUUCGGGGGGGAUCAGUGGCGAACGGGUGAGUAACACGUGGGCAACCUGCCCCCGGCUCUGGGAUAACUCCAAGAAAUUGGGGCUAAUACCGGAUGUUCACCGCUUCCCGCAUGGGUGGUGGUGGAAAGGGUUUCCGGCUGGGGAUGGGCCCGCGGCCUAUCAGCUUGUUGGUGGGGUAGUGGCCUACCAAGGCGACGACGGGUAGCCGGCCUGAGAGGGUGACCGGCCACACUGGGACUGAGACACGGCCCAGACUCCUACGGGAGGCAGCAGUGGGGAAUAUUGCGCAAUGGGCGGAAGCCUGACGCAGCGACGCCGCGUGGGGGAUGACGGCCUUCGGGUUGUAAACCUCUUUCAGCAGGGACGAAGCGCAAGUGACGGUACCUGCAGAAGAAGCACCGGCCAACUACGUG